GACGAACGCUGGCGGCGUGCUUAACACAUGCAAGUCGAACGAUGAAGCUGGAGCUUGCUCCGGUGGAUUAGUGGCGAACGGGUGAGUAACACGUGAGCAAUCUGCCCUUGACUCUGGGAUAACUGCGGGAAACUGUAGCUAAUACCGGAUAUGAGGCUUGGAGGCAUCUCCAGGUCUGGAAAGAAUUUCGGUCAAGGAUGAGCUCGCGGCCUAUCAGCUAGUUGGUGAGGUAAUGGCUCACCAAGGCGACGACGGGUAGCCGGCCUGAGAGGGUGACCGGCCACACUGGGACUGAGACACGGCCCAGACUCCUACGGGAGGCAGCAGUGGGGAAUAUUGCACAAUGGGCGAAAGCCUGAUGCAGCAACGCCGCGUGAGGGAUGAAGGCCUUCGGGUUGUAAACCUCUUUUAGCAGGGAAGAAGCGAAAGUGACGGUACCUGCAGAAAAAGCACCGGCUAACUACGUGCCAGCCGCCGCGGUAA
rnacentral:rRNA from 1 species